rnacentral:rRNA from 1 species
UAGGGAAUCUUCCGCAAUGGGCGAAAGCCUGACGGAGCAACGCCGCGUGAGUGAUGAAGGUCUUCGGAUCGUAAAACUCUGUUAUUAGGGAAGAACAAAUGUGUAAGUAACUAUGCACGUCUUGACGGUACCUAAUCAGAAAGCCACGGCUAACUACGUGCCAGCAGCCGCGGUAAUACGUAGGUGGCAAGCGUUAUCCGGAAUUAUUGGGCGUAAAGCGCGCGUAGGCGGUUUGUUAAGUCUGAUGUGAAAGCCCACGGAUCAACCGUGGAGGGUCAUUGGAAACUGGAGAACUUGAGUGCAGAAGAGGAAAGUGGAAUUCCAUGUGUAGCGGUGAAAUGCGCAGAGAUAUGGAGGAACACCAGUGGCGAAGGCGACUUUCUGGUCUGUAACUGACGCUGAUGUGCGAAAGCGUGGGGAUCAAACAGG